AAAAAAAAAACUGUAUUGAUCUUGUUUAGGGUUCUGAGCAAAGAAGAACAAAAAGGAGGUGUUUUCGUUAGGUCGUCUCCUCUCCGCUCUUCUUUCUCCGAAGCUCUCUUCGUCUCGUAUUUGGCCAAGAAAAAAAUGAAGCUCUGUUCGAAUCGCCUCCCCUCCAUGACCCCUGUCGAUUUUAUGUUCCUCCAUGACCUCCCCGUGUACGCCCUCAACAACCCUGGGAGGAGUUCUUGCUGGUUGCCGGAGCCUCCACCAGCAAGAACCUCGACCUCUUCUGCUUCAACGAAGACGACGCCCAAGCCCUGCUGCGCUAGGUUUUCACGGUCGACCCUCGCCUGCGUGACGGCUCCAAAGUUGUUCCCGUUGCGCUCAACAAGGUUCCCUAAGUUGCUUCUCUCUUCUCUUUCUCUCUCUCUCUCUUAGUAAUUUGAUUCACCUUAUCGUGUUUUACUGAUCCACUUUAUUGAAUUGCUUGGUAAUGACUUUUAUUGCUUUUUUGAAUUCACGUGACAUUUGGCAAUGUCCAAGUAUGGUUAUGAUUAUAUGGACGCUUAUGUAUUUGUAUUCAUGGAUAUCAGAGAUGAUUGAAUCUAUUCUUGAUUAUUGUUUCUGGUCAUAAUAUUUGAGCUAUAUCUAGAAUGGCUAUAUAUGUGUAUGUGGAUGAGCUUCAUCAUAAAUGAAUUUGGGUAAUGUUUCCUCUAUUGCCUUUGCUACAAGAAAUGCUACUAUCCCAUUGGUCAUAUUUUACUCAAGCUCUAUGUUUCAGUUGAUGUUAUAAUUUGUUGUGUACCAUAGGCUAGUUAUUUUAUUUGGUUGAUCAAAUUUAGGCUUGAUGUUUGUGUUGAGUUUUAUGAUUCUGAAGCUCAUACUUCACAUUCAGUUGGUUUAUUGUGUAGUAAAUAGAACCUUUUUCUAUUUAUGGAUUAGUGUAGUCUGUAUGUUAUUUCUACUUAUCCGCCUAUAAUCACAGACAUAAAUGCAAGAAAACCUUUAGUUUUAUGUACAAUGUGGCAUUUAUUUGCAUGUGGUUGUUAAGGACUUUAUCCCCUACAUCUAAUCAGGAUAGAGAAGUAUGUUGUUGAUAGAUUUUUAGUUCUAUUUGAGGUUCUAAGAUCUGUUAAACUUUGAUUGUAUCUUCUAAUACUAUUCAUAAGUUACAGAAAAAAGAUUUAAUGGUUAUAGGCUACUCCCAAUAGGGUUGUAACUCUACCAGGUUGAGUAUAUUUUUAAUGAUAAACACAUGUUCACUUUUAACUCACUGAGUCAGUACGGUGGUUUCAUUUUUAGACAAGUUUCGCGGUCUCCUUAUAGCAAGCAUUCUCAGCGUAGGCAUUCUCCCUACUUUCUCUUGAUAAUUCCACGUUUGUUGCCAUAUUAGUUUUUAUAUGAAAACACUAAAAUUUUCAAUGUCCUUUGUAUUAGACAACCAUAGAAGCAAAUUAAAUGGAAAUUUUUAAUAAUUAAGAAGAAGCUAAGAAAUCACAAGUUUUCAUUUUGGCCAAAAUAUGUGCAGGAGUGUGUGGAUAGCUUCUUGAAAAGCAUAUGUAUGUAGAAUUGGGCGACUGACUAGAGGUCAAAGAAUGAUUCAUUCUCAAAAUUUGGAUUAGUAGAGCAAAUAAAUACCACUGCUGAUAAGUGACUAUUAGUGGUACUCAUUAAGGUAUAUAGGCCUCUCAAUGGUUGAAAAAGCUUUCUUCUAUCUGAUUUGAAAUCUAUGCAUGAUCCAUUAUGAUCUUUUUUUUUUUCAUUUGAAGCAUUAAUUUUGAAGAUGAUUUUAGUGCUCAAACUGUUCUUCACAUCGAAUCCUUUGGACAUGCCCUUCAUGCUUUCAUAAAUGGAAAGCUUGCAGGUAAAUUGCAUCAGUGACUGAUUUUACGGCUUGAACCUGAUCACGUGAAGACAAUUCAAUCGUUUCUUCAAGGCUUUCCUUCUUUCAAAUAAUAUUAGUGAAAGUAUAUUUUCAGGAAAUGGAAAAGGAAACAGUGGCAAUGCUAAAAGUCAAUGUGGAUAUCCCCAUCACACUUGUAGCUGGGAAGAAUACAGUUUGAUCUCUUGAGUUUAACUGUGGGUCUUCAAAACUAUAGAUUUUUCUUUGACACAUGGGGUGCUGGGAUCCCUGGGCCAGUGACAUUGAAAGGAUUGAAGAAUGGAACUACUAUUGACCUCUCCUCCCAACAAUGGUCAUAUCAAAUUGGUCUUCAAGGUGAAGACUUGGUCUAUCUAGUCGAAGUGUUGGACAGUGGAACCCACAAUCAAACUUACCCUCAGAAUCAGGAAGAAGAUGAGGGCCAGUUUUGUCACUAGAGUGUCCUAAUACUAAGCAGAUCAUCUCUUCUAUUAAAUUUGCCAAUUUUGGCACGCCGAGUGGGACUUGUGGGAACUUCAACCAUGGUAGCUGCAGCAGCAACAAGGCUCUAUCCAUUGUUAAGAAGGCCUGCAUUGGAUCAAGCAUCUGUAAAAUUAAAGUAUCAAUUGAUACAUUUGGAGAUCCAUGGAGAAGAGUAACUAAAAGUCUUGCUGUUGAAGCUUCUUGUACAUAGACAUUGUUGCUUCAUGAAGUACUUACCCUUCUUCAUAGCUUGGACAUGAAGGAUCUAAGAUUCUCUUAGUUGAAAGUUCAUGAUUACUACUGGAUGAUUAGCGAAAUGUAAAAAUGGUGAAUGAAAUAUUCUAAUAGUAUAUUGAAUGUAAUUCCAUUAGUUCAUACCU